UAGAGUUCAAAUUUUUUCAUUUAUUUAUGCCCUGGUUUGUUUCUUACAAGUAUUUAAGGUAGUUAAAUAACUGUCAAGUGUAUUACAGUUACCAAAAAGGCUAACUCUGUCUUACACUGCAUUAAUAGAAGCAUAUUGUCGUGAACAAAGUUAAUACAAGAACUUGGAUCUUUUAUACUUUUUGCUUUAUUUUUAGAUUUUUUAAUUUUUAUGGGUACAUAGUAGG
rnacentral:lncRNA from 1 species